AGGAUAGAGAUAAAUUGAAAAGGGAGAGGGAGAUGGAGUGUUAAGAGAAAGAGUAACACCUGCAGCACUCUUCACUGCUCAUGAAACGUUCCCCUUGGAGGUGGACCCAAGUUAUUGUCUGGGGAGAUGAUGUCAUGACUGGCAGAAGGACCAGAAAGCUGGAUCAGAGAAGAGAGUAGCUCCCAAAUAAGGGAAAAGGUUUAUGUGUCUCUACUAAGCCUCAAGCAAUUUCCUAAAACUACCAUGAAAGUAUUUCUACCUGUUUAUGACUUUAGUUGCUUCUAUUUCAGUGGAUGGUGGUUUGAUUUUGCUCGCUAACAAUGACAAUGAAGAUGCAUUUCCUUAUUGGGCAAAUGCCUGAAAACAAAAUCUUUUCAGAAAUCUGG